rnacentral:rRNA from 1 species
AUUGAACGCUGGCGGCAGGCCUAACACAUGCAAGUCGAGCGGAUGAAGGGAGCUUGCUCCUGGAUUCAGCGGCGGACGGGUGAGUAAUGCCUAGGAAUCUGCCUGGUAGUGGGGGAUAACGUCCGGAAACGGGCGCUAAUACCGCAUACGUCCUGAGGGAGAAAGUGGGGGAUCUUCGGACCUCACGCUAUCAGAUGAGCCUAGGUCGGAUUAGCUAGUUGGUGGGGUAAAGGCCUACCAAGGCGACGAUCCGUAACUGGUCUGAGAGGAUGAUCAGUCACACUGGAACUGAGACACGGUCCAGACUCCUACGGGAGGCAGCAGUGGGGAAUAUUGGGCAAUGGGCGAAAGCCUGAUCCAGCCCUGCCGCGUGUGUGAAGAAGGUCUUCGGAUUGUAAAGCACUUUAAGUUGGGAGGAAGGGCAGUAAGUUAAUACCUUGCUGUUUUGACGUUACCAACAGAAUAAGCACCGGCUAACUUCGUG